UACGUAGGGGGCUAGCGUUGUCCGGAAUCAUUGGGCGUAAAGAGCGUGUAGGCGGUCCGGUAAGUCCGCUGUGAAAGUCGGGGGCUCAACCCUCGAAUGCCGGUGGAUACUGUCGGACUAGAGUACGGAAGAGGCGAGUGGAAUUCCCGGUGUAGCGGUGAAAUGCGCAGAUAUCGGGAGGACACCAAUUGCGAAGGCAGCUCGCUGGGACGUCACUGACGCUGAGACGCGAAAGCGUGGGGAGCAAACAGG
rnacentral:rRNA from 1 species